AUCGACAGAAGAAGCAUCAUAUGCAAGCUGUCAAAGGUGAGCAGGCUGAAGUGAGAAAGGACUUGGUCUUUGAGUUGAUCUCCACGUCAAUGCCAGGGCUUAUGUGUGUUUGCUUGUUCUGCUUUGAUCAACUGAACUGAACUGGAUGCAACUGCCCUUGCAAACUUCUACCUCAGAG